UAACCAUACCAAGGGUCUAUGGUCCGUGAGCAAUGUAAAUUGUCGGCCAUAAAGUGAUCUGGAGGCAUACGCGACUGGGAGAUCUUUUCCCACUGGUCCCUGACUAAGAAUGGCGCCAAUGGCAUAAUUAGAAGCAUCCGUAGUAACGAGGAAUGACUGCGAAAAAUUCGGGAACUGUAAUAGAGGUUCAGCACAGAUGAUAUCUCUUAAGGUUUCGAAGGAAGUUUGCACGUCAGCUGUCCAACAAAAAGGCUGAAGGGUUAAUCCAGCGUUUUGUAACCGAGU